rnacentral:rRNA from 1 species
AUGGCACCAGACAGCUCCACCGCCCAGCGCUCGUCCAUCCAGCCGCAUCCAUCAUCAAUAUGUAGCCGCACCAUGCCGCCAAAAUCAUCGUCAUCAACGCGGAAGAUACAACGCCGCACCACCUGGCAACCUCCACACCGUCGCCACUGCUGGAGGUACUCGGAGCCCACCAUCCACAUCAUCUCUCCCCCGAACAGCAGGUCCUCCCAAGACGGCGCCUCCAUGGAGGAUACGACGCGUAGGACGCCGCUGCCGCCCAAUCCAGAAUGA